UAUUUCACUUAGGGCUGUUUUAAUUCCACAUUCUGAGUGUGUAUACAUUCCUAUUUGGCAUAUUUUAGAUUUUUUUCUUUAUUGUCAGUCUGCAAGCUCCUGUGGCAGUAUUAAAACCAGCUUACUAUCAUAAAUUAGCUGUUAAGAAUAACAGAACCUGGCUGACUAAAGUUAUUGUGGGCUAAAGGAGAGCUGGGAUGAAGCAAUGCAGCUCUGUUACUGGUAUUUAAAAAUGAUAAUCAUACGGGCAUUUGGGAAUAAGCAAUUUAACGAUGGUGUCCUAAAGAAUUACUUCAUUAGAAAUCUGUACCAGAUGGGACCUCUCUCAUUGCAAUUGUUUUAAAUUCACCACCAAAUGAAUAAGCACAUGGUACAUGGCAUAAUACACAGACCUGGAAAUACUUUGUUUUUCUGUUUCCAGAUCUGCUACUUGUCUGUUGCAGUGUUUUGCUUUCUUUCCUGCUGGAAAACCAAUGUGCUUGGCAUGCUCUCUGUGCUGCCACUGUCUGAGCUCUGGUGGGGGUCAGGAGCCACAUAUGAAGUGCACUUUAAGCAGGAAUACGUGUACUUGAAAUAUUCUGAACUGGGAUUCUGCUGGUUAAGGACUGAUAGACAGACAUCCAUUUCAAGGAAGAACUUGUGUGGUGGCCACCGUUUCUCUCCAGCACUUCCUAUGGUGUGGGAGUUUCUGAGGGACUUAGAACAACUUCCCUUAAAACCACAUCACGGCCUUUGCAGAAGUCACAUGAUGUUGAUGCUGAUGUAUAUUCACUCCAUUGGACUUCAUCUCUUUUCACAGCCCACUCACGAUAAUUGCAGUAUAUCAAAAAUAAGAAAUUUUUAG
rnacentral:lncRNA from 1 species